CGCGCUCAGACGGCUGUGAUAUAGGCUGUGCAUGGGAAAGAUUCCUAUGGACGGAAUCCGAUCUCUCUCUUGGCACUCUACAGUGGGUGUCUUUCCUGUACUUAGCUGUGUAGCAGUAGUAUGAAUUCAGCCGAAGUCCUUUAAACUGGCAAAUUGUUAAAAAAAAUUGAUUCAGUCACUUUUUGGUGUGUUGCAUUCUGAGAAAAUUAGAAAACAACCAUUAUGGUCACCUGUAUGGCUUCCAAUGGAGUUUUUACUCAACUUUUGUUGCGCAAUGAAGCAGUGGCGGCAGGGGAAUACAGUACGGUAUAGCUGGGCAGACUGGCUGACUAUAUGGUGACUCCUGACGCACCAUUUAUAUGCCCGUUUUGAUGGAUCUUGAUUGGCUUUUUUCCCCUCAAAAUUAAAGUGUAUUCAAUAUUAAUGUUAAACAAUAGCACACGAACGUUGU